rnacentral:rRNA from 1 species
GAAUUCGCCCUUUUCCGGUUGAUCCUGCCGGACCCUACUGCUAUCGGGAUGGGACUAAGACAUGCUAGUCGUGCGCCUCCAAGCCAUGGUGGAGGCGCGGCGCACAGCUCAGUAACACGUGGUUAACCUGCCCUUGGGACGGAAACACCCCCGGGAAACUGGGGCUAAUUUCCGAUAGGUGAAGGCUCCUGGAAUGGAUCUUCGCCUAAAGGGCGCUUAGGCCAUGCUUCUAGGCGCUGCCCAAGGAUGGGGCCGCGGCCGAUCAGGUUGUUGGUGAGGUAAUGGCUCACCAAGCCUUUAACCGGUUCGGGCCGUGGGAGCGGGGAGCCCGGAGAUGGGCACUGAGACAAGGGCCCAGGCCCCUACGGGGCGCAGCAGUCGCGAAAAACUCCGCAAUACGCGAAGGCGUGACGGGGCUAUCCCGAGUGCCGUCCGCUGAGGAUGGCUUUUCCCCAGUGUAGAUAGCUGGGGGAAUGAGGAGAGGGCAAGUCUGGUGUCAGCCGCCGCGGUAAUACCAGCUCUCCGAGUGGUGGGGACGUUUAUUGGGCCUGAAGCAUCCGUAGCCAGCUGAGCAAGUCCCCAGUUAAAUCCAGCGAUUUAAUCGUUGGACUGCUGGGGAUACUGUCCGGCUAGGGGGUGGGAGAGGCCGACGGUAUUCCCGGGGUAGGGGUGAAAUCCUAUAAUCCCGGGAGGACCACCAGUGGCGAAGGCUGUUGGCUAAAACAUGCCCGACGGUGAGGGAUGAAAGCUGGGGGAGCGAACCGGAUUAGAUACCCGGGUAGUCCCAGCUGUAAACGAUGCAGGCUAGGUGUUAGGGCGGCCACGUGCCGCUCUAGUGCCGCAGGGAAGCUGUUAAGCCUGCCGCCUGGGGAGUACGGUCGCAAGGCUGAAACUUAAAGG